rnacentral:rRNA from 1 species
CGGCGUGCUUAACACAUGCAAGUCGAACGGAAAGGCCCUGCUUUUGUGGGGUGCUCGAGUGGCGAACGGGUGAGUAACACGUGAGUAACCUGCCCUUGACUUUGGGAUAACUUCAGGAAACUGGGGCUAAUACCGGGUAGGAGCUCCUGCUGCAUGGUGGGGGUUGGAAAGUUUCGGCGGUUGGGGAUGGACUCGCGGCUUAUCAGCUUGUUGGUGGGGUAGUGGCUUACCAAGGCUUUGACGGGUAGCCGGCCUGAGAGGGUGACCGGCCACAUUGGGACUGAGAUACGGCCCAGACUCCUACGGGAGGCAGCAGUGGGGAAUAUUGCACAAUGGGCGGAAGCCUGAUGCAGCAACGCCGCGUGCGGGAUGACGGCCUUCGGGUUGUAAACCGCUUUCGCCUGUGACGAAGCGUGAGUGACGGUAAUGGGUAAAGAAGCACCGGCUAACUACGUGCCAGCAGCCGCGGUGAUACGUAGGGUGCGAGCGUUGUCCGGAUUUAUUGGGCGUAAAGGGCUCGUAGGUGGUUGAUCGCGUCGGAAGUGUAAUCUUGGGGCUUAACCCUGAGCGUGCUUUCGAUACGGGUUGACUUGAGGAAGGUAGGGGAGAAUGGAAUUCCUGGUGGAGCGGUGGAAUGCGCAGAUAUCAGGAGGAACACCAGUGGCGAAGGCGGUUCUCUGGGCCUUUCCUGACGCUGAGGAGCGAAAGCGUGGGGAGCGAACAGGCUUAGAUACCCUGGUAGUCCACGCUGUAAACGGUGGGUACUAGGUGUGGGGUCCAUUCCACGGGUUCCGUGCCGUAGCUAACGCUUUAAGUACCCCGCCUGGGGAGUACGGCCGCAAGGCUAAAACUCAAAGGAAUUGACGGGGCCCCGCACAAGCGGCGGAGCAUGCGGAUUAAUUCGAUGCAACGCGUAGAACCUUACCUGGGUUUGACAUGGAUCGGGAGUGCUCAGAGAUGGGUGUGCCUCUUUUGGGGUCGGUUCACAGGUGGUGCAUGGCUGUCGUCAGCUCGUGUCGUGAGAUGUUGGGUUAAGUCCCGCAACGAGCGCAACCCUUGUUCACUGUUGCCAGCACGUUAUGGUGGGGACUCAGUGGAGACCGCCGGGGUCAACUCGGAGGAAGGUGGGGAUGACGUCAAGUCAUCAUGCCCCUUAUGUCCAGGGCUUCACGCAUGCUACAAUGGCUGGUACAGAGAGUGGCGAGCCUGUGAGGGUGAGCGAAUCUCGGAAAGCCGGUCUCAGUUCGGAUUGGGGUCUGCAACUCGACCUCAUGAAGUCGGAGUCGCUAGUAAUCGCAGAUCAGCAACGCUGCGGUGAAUACGUUCCCGGGGCUUGUACACACCGCCCGUCAAGUCAUGAAAGUUGGUAACACCCGAAGCCGGUGGCCUAACCGUUGUGGGGGAGCCGUCGAAGGUGGGACUGGUGAUUAGG